UACAGAGGUCUCGAGCGUUGUUCGGAUUCAUUGGGCGUAAAGGGUGCGUAGGUGGCGCUGUAAGUCAGGUGUGAAAUUUCGGAGCUUAACUCCGAAACUGCAUUUGAUACUGCGGUGCUUGAGGACCGGAGAGGAGACUGGAAUUUACGGUGUAGCAGUGAAAUGCGUAGAUAUCGUAAGGAAGACCAGUGGCGAAGGCGGGUCUCUGGACAGUUCCUGACACUGAGGCACGAAGGCCAGGGGAGCAAACGGG
rnacentral:rRNA from 1 species